rnacentral:rRNA from 1 species
UAACGCGUGGGAACAUACCCUUUUCUACGGAAUAGCCUCGGGAAACUGAGAGUAAUACCGUAUAAGCCCUUCGGGGGAAAGAUUUAUCGGGAAAGGAUUGGCCCGCGUUAGAUUAGAUAGUUGGUGGGGUAAUGGCCUACCAAGUCUACGAUCUAUAGCUGGUUUUAGAGGAUGAUCAGCAACACUGGGACUGAGACACGGCCCAGACUCCUACGGGAGGCAGCAGUGGGGAAUCUUAGACAAUGGGCGCAAGCCUGAUCUAGCCAUGCCGCGUGUGUGAUGAAGGUCUUAGGAUCGUAAAGCACUUUCGCCAGGGAUGAUAAUGACAGUACCUGGUAAAGAAACCCCGGCUAACUCCGUGCCAGCAGCCGCGGUAAUACGGAGGGGGUUAGCGUUGUUCGGAAUUACUGGGCGUAAAGCGUACGUAGGCGGAUUGGAAAG